AUGGCUCGCACCUCCUCGCAGUCGCAGUCCUCGGUCGCCGGCGCCGCCGGCGCCUCCCGCCCGGCCACCGUCGGUCCCCGCGGCACGGCUGCCGCGACGGCGGGCAUGCGCCGCCGCCCAGGCCGCACCUCCUCGUCCGGCGCGGGCGGCGGCGGCGGCUUCUCCGGUGGUGGGAACAACAUGCUCCGCUUCUACACCGACGAGGCGCCCGGGCUGCGCCUCUCCCCCACCAUGGUGCUCGUCAUGUCCGUCUGCUUCAUCGGCUUCGUCACCGCGCUGCACGUCUUCGGCAAGCUCUACCGCUCCCGCACCGCCGCCUCCUCCGCCUCCGCCUGA
rnacentral:rRNA from 1 species